rnacentral:rRNA from 1 species
CAAUAGCGUAUAUUUAAGUUGUUGCAGUUAAAAAGCUCGUAGUUGGAUUUCGGUUGAGAACGGCCGGUCCGCCGUUUGGUGUGCACUGGCUGGUUUCAACUUCCUGUAGAGGACGCGCUCUGGCUUCACGGCUGGACGCGGAGUCUACGUGGUUACUUUGAAAAAAUUAGAGUGUUCAAAGCGGGCUUACGCUUGAAUAUUUCAGCAUGGAAUAACACUAUAGGACUCCUGUCCUAUUUCGUUGGUCUCGGGACGGGAGUAAUGAUUAAGAGGAACAGUUGGGGGCAUUCGUAUUCCAUUGUCAGAGGUGAAAUUCUUGGAUUUAUGAAAGACGAACUUCUGCGAAAGCAUUUGCCAAGGAUGUUUUCAUUAA